GAACGAUAAGGAUGUUGAUUUAUGUUUUAUCUGUCACUACAUUUUCAGUAAAGUUGGGCAGCGAGCCUUAACGAAGCGAGGGCUGUUAUCACCUCUCCUUAGCCCUUUAAGUGCAGCAGGCUCUUUGGUGUCUCUCGCUGAAUGCCGCUUUGUUAAUUGCGACGGUAAACAGGACACAGCGCUGACCAUCGCACUUACCACAGAACCGCCGGGUUUGGGAAAGGAGCCCGGGUCCAGCGGGAGUCACACAUGAAGGAGGGUUCGUAGAAGUACUCAGCAUUUCCUGGACUUGCUUCUAUCGUUUCAAAUGUAUUGCAUACCUUGAAGUGAAUGUAAUGGCUGGCUUAAUUGGAGAUAGCUUCACUGAAGUGGCCGUGGUUACCAUUUAUGUCAGCGGUGAAUGUGCCCUUUAACGCUGCGCCCCUCAGAACUUCUACAAGAGAGGAGUUGGAGUCCUGGCAGAGUGACCAGAAGUGUGACAUUCAGGAAAGGAAAAGAUAUUUCCGGACACUGUCACAGCAUCUGAGGAACCAUAUUCCAGCUGUUCUCAGACUUUCCCAUUUCUGGAAACCUGCCCCUCCUUCAGCUCCAACCACAAAUGUCCACACAAUAGAAAUCCAGUCAUUCUCCCAGAGGUCAGUCAAGGACUAACUCAAGAUUACCCCCGAAUGUCUCUGUUAUUUUUUCACUCCCAUCUAAGGACUGUUAGAAUCACAAACUCAGGCAUGAACUCAUUAUCUCAAAGCAACGCACCAACAUUUUUGUGAAUUUGCCCUGAUAGAAUUGUGUGUUAAAGUCUUUCCCAAAGUUACUAAGGUCUUUAGCUCAGGCAUGUCCAAACUGAAAAUCAGGAUGUCAAAAUAUGCAAAAAAAAAAUUUAAUAAGUCACAAACCCCCCAAAAUAAAGGAAUUAACAGGUUUUCUAUUCUCUUUAAAAUUGAGGCAACUUGCUUGAUGACAAUCAGCAGUCUUGUCACUUUCAGAUGUCACCAGCUAUCUUUUGCUGUUGUUUUACUUCAGAUUUGAAGUUCCAUUUGCUCUUUGCUCUUUUU